AAGUCGAACGGAAAGGCCCUUCGGGGUACUCGAGUGGCGAACGGGUGAGUAACACGUGGGUGAUCUGCCCUGCACUUUGGGAUAAGCCUGGGAAACUGGGUCUAAUACCGAAUAGGACCACGCGCUUCAUGGUGUGUGGUGGAAAGCUUUUGCGGUGUGGGAUGGGCCCGCGGCCUAUCAGCUUGUUGGUGGGGUAAUGGCCUACCAAGGCGACGACGGGUAGCCGGCCUGAGAGGGUGACCGGCCACACUGGGACUGAGAUACGGCCCAGACUCCUACGGGAGGCAGCAGUGGGGAAUAUUGCACAAUGGGCGCAAGCCUGAUGCAGCGACGCCGCGUGAGGGAUGACGGCCUUCGGGUUGUAAACCUCUUUCAAUAGGGACGAAGCGCGAGUGACGGUACCUAUAGAAGAAGCACCGGCCAACUACGUGCCAGCAGCCGCGGUAAUACGUAGGGUGCGAGCGUUGUCCGGAAUUACUGGGCGUAAAGAGCUCGUAGGUGGUUUGUCGCGUUGUUCGUGAAAACUCACAGCUUAACUGUGGGCGUGCGGGCGAUACGGGCAGACUAGAGUACUGCAGGGGAGACUGGAAUUCCUGGUGUAGCGGUGGAAUGCGCAGAUAUCAGGAGGAACACCGGUGGCGAAGGCGGGUCUCUGGGCAGUAACUGACGCUGAGGAGCGAAAGCGUGGGGAGCGAACAGGAUUAGAUACCCUGGUAGUCCACGCCGUAAACGGUGGGUACUAGGUGUGGGUUCCUUCCUUGGGAUCCGUGCCGUAGCUAACGCAUUAAGUACCCCGCCUGGGGAGUACGGCCGCAAGGCUAAAACUCAAAGGAAUUGACGGGGGCCCGCACAAGCGGCGGAGCAUGUGGAUUAAUUCGAUGCAACGCGAAGAACCUUACCUGGGUUUGACAUGCACAG
rnacentral:rRNA from 1 species